rnacentral:ncRNA from 1 species
CACAUCGUGAGGUGUGGGAGAGAAGAAGCAAUAGCGAAAUCGUAGCCUGACGAACAGAAACCUAAUAUUAAGGCUUGCAGAAGGGAUAAACUGACUAAGAGUAGUGAAGUCCAAAAGGCAAUCGUAACUUCCGUAAGUAAAUUAGGCAGGUAGACGAGGAAAGAUUGGC